AACCUUGCGCGGGAAGCACAGGGUGCAUCAUCAGAUUGGCUGAUAUCAGGAGAUUACCUCGCAGACAAUAUCGAUAGAAAAUUAUCAUCCAUUCAUCCUUCUUGGUGAUUUCGUAGCAAAGCAUAGCAAAGAUUAUGCCGUCUAUGUAUAUACAAAGGUGACCUUAACUAGAAGAGAACGCGUAUGCUGGGUAUACAAUACUAUCAGAAAACAGAUAAUUAACGUCGGGUGUUGAUACGAGUUCGAGUCCACUAUCCCAGCUGUCAAUACAUGGCCAGAAGUCCUUUGCGAUAGAGCCGAUAGCCGCUGUUUUUGGCUCUUUUAGACAGUCUAUAGUCCUCUGCAGUUUGGCAUUAAUUGGCCGUCUCGUGUCUCUAGUGUUUUAAAGCGUUGAGUAGUAGCAAUAAGAGCUUGUCGUCACUUGGACCUGUUUUGCGCCAAAAUAAUAACCUCUUUGUGAAGACUCAUAAGGAGUAGACCUCAAGGUUGCUAUAGGCUUGAGUGCCUCCGACCAACACUUCACUUUGUGCGCGGAGGAAUAGCAUUUGUGUAUGACUAAAAAGUGCAUCCGAAAGGGUAAAAAAGAGAACUUAAUUUUGGCCGGGACAAGAUAGCCAGGAUUUGCUAAGAGGAAUAUGCUGGAAUUAAUAUUAUGUGUAAAGUGCUACGAUGGAUUACAAGUUAUGGGGCUUAUAGCUAUUAAGAACAGGAAAGGGGAAGGUUUAUAAGUUAUGGGAUUUAUAGCUACUAAGAACAUGAAACAGGGAUUUGGGAUUUAGAUAAAGCCUGGGAGACGGAGAUGGGGAUGUGCAACAUCGAGUCCCGAGUGUUAGCGGCAUGCAAUCUAUUUCUAACCAAUUCCCCGUUUCCACUUCAUCCUAUGUGGAUCUUGUUUUUUUUUUUUUCGAAGAGUCCGUUGUUUGUUCCCGGAAACAUUUGUAUAUACUGUACACGUUUCUCACUUUCCCGACUUUGCCAGCGAUUAUUCAUUAGUUUUAGGCUUUCAGAGUUGGGUGAAAUGAAUCAAAUCUAAUGGUUCAAAUCUGACACUUUAAAACUCACAUAACUCACGCAGGAAAAGAGUCCAUUCUAUGCUUGCACCGGACGUUGUGCCGUUGAUCACUGUUCGGAUAGUGACGGAGUUGUUCCCUGUUGCAUCCUGCCUUCCCUCGCCAAAUUAGAGGCGGCACAUUUUGUAUUUCUCGACUGGAAUAUUUUGUAUUUUGUACUAAAAUGUACUUAGAGCCUCCGGCUGACGUUUGGGCUAAUUGAAACCUUACAAAUUUCUAACACAUUUAUUAUGAUAAUAAUAAACGUUUUGAUUAUUUAGGCAACGAAAUUAUUCAUGGGCGCGGUGCAUCGCGGGCUAGGAUAUCCAGACCAUCUUCAAAUGCAUUGUCUCCAAGACGGGGAGAAAUAUCGCACGAGAAUUCCACGAACGGCCAGUAAUAACAACUCGUGUAUGCACCAAGCAUCUAGAACAUUCUUAAAAAGCAACAGCUUUACUUCCAUUGCCCUUUGCCACCAGAAUCGAUUUUAGAUAUGAGGAAUCGUGUUCCUAAUAUUUCCGGCUGUACAGACUCAUCAGCAGUUCAUGAUCUCGGUGUCACCAAGACUCUGCUUAAUAAGUCAGUCCACGUGAAGGGCUUAGCGCAGUUACCCUUACAGUGUUACAAAUUGCACAAAGUUAAAGCAAAACCACAAAAUAAUCUACUCGAUGAUUUUACGAUCUUUGAUGUAGAAGGAUCAUUUCCAUUUCUGGCCCUUUUAGAGCAUCGGGGCGACGAUGAUGAUGGAGGGAUAACGGAGGAUUUUAGUAAUUAACACAUUCGUUUCAAAUAUAAGACUCGAAUGAUGCAGACCGUUAUAAGACUACACUUAUCACGCAUAUCUAAGACUCAAAUGAUAAAGACCAUGAUAAUAAGACUACACUUAUCACGCCUAUCUAAGAAUCGAAUGAUGAAGACCCUUAUAAAACUACACUUAUCACGCCUAUUUAAGACCCAAAUUAUACUUAGUUCUUUGGCGAACACAUUAUUCCUUUUCCAGAGUUGAAUGGAAACAAAAAGAAAGUUGUGGCUGACAAGAGCUCUUUCAGAUUUCGCCGGAGCAUGUAGGGUCUUGUACAGCAGCAACAUUUAGACAUUUUUUUCAGGGUCUUGUAUGUGGUCUAUGUGGAGGGUUGGUUACUCGACGCGUGUUCGCAGAGCACCAUCCCGAGAUGGGGGCAUUUCAUUGUACGAAACACCACACAUUGAUAACCUCAGGCUCUAAGUCAUAUGUUGGUUUAAAGGGGCUAUAUCAUAUACUGGUUUAAAGAGGCUAAAUUCAUAUGCUGGUUUAAUUGGGCUAAAGGGGUUGUAUCACAUGUUGGUUUAAAGGGAUUAUGUCACAUGUUGGUUUGAAGGGAUUAUGUCACAUGUUGGUUUAAAGGGGAUUAUGUCACAUGUUGGUUUAAAGGGAUUAUGUCACAUGUUGGUUUAAAAUGGCUUAUGUCAUAUGCUGGUUUAAAGGUAUUAUGUCACAUGUUGGUUUAAAGGGAUUAUAUCACAUAUUGGUUUAAAGGGAUUAUGUCACAUGUUGGUUUAAAGGGAUUAUGUCACAUGUUGGUUAAGGGAUUAUGUCACAUGUUGGUUUAAAGGGAUUAUGUCACAUGUUGGUUUAAAGCGAUUAUGUCAUAUGCUGGUUUUAAAGGGAUUAUGUCACAUGUUGGUUUAAAGGGAUUAUGUCACAUGUUGGUUUAAAGGGAUUAUAUCACAUGUUGGUUUAAAGGGAUUAUGUCACAUGUUGGUUUAAGGGGAUUAUGUCACAUGUUGGUUUAAAGGGAUUAUGUCACAUGUUGGUUUAAAGGGAUUAUGUCACAUGUUGGUUUAAAGGGAUUAUGUCACAUGUUGGUUUAAAGUGAUUAUGUCACAUGCUGGUUUAAAGGGAUUAUGUCACAUGUUGGUUUAAAGUGAUUAUGUCACAUGCUGGUUUAAAGGGAUUAUGUCACAUGUUGGUUUAAAGGGAUUAUGUCACAUGUUGGUUUAAAGGGAUUAUGUCACAUGUUGGUUUAAAGGGCUUAUGUCAUAUGCUGGUUUAAAGGGAUUAUGUCACAUGUUGGUUAAGGGAUUAUAUCACAUGUUGGUUUAAAGGGCUUAUGUCAUAUGCUGGUUUAAAGGGAUUAUGUCACAUGUUGGUUAAGGGGAUUAUGUCACAUGUUGGUUUAAAGAGAUUAUGUCACAUGUUGGUUUAAAGGGAUUAUGUCACAUGUUGGUUUAAAGGGAUUAUGUCACAUGCUGGUUUAAAGGGAUUAUGUCACAUGUUGGUUUAAAGGGAUUAUGUCACAUGUUGGUUAAGGGAUUAUAUCACAUGUUGGUUUAAAGGGCUUAUGUCACAUGUUGGUUAAGGGAUUAUAUCACAUGUUGGUUUAAAGGGCUUAUGUCAUAUGCUGGUUUAAAGGGAUUAUGUCACAUGUUGGUUUAAGGGGAUUAUGUCACAUGUUGGUUUAAAGAGAUUAUGUCACAUGUUGGUUUAAAGGGAUUAUGUCACAUGUUGGUUUAAAGGGAUUAUGUCACAUGUUGGUUUAAAGGGAUUAUGUCACAUGCUGGUUUAAAGGGAUUAUGUCACAUGUUGGUUUAAAGGGCUUAUGUCAUAUGCUGGUUUAAAGGGAUUAUGUCACAUGUUGGUUUAAAGGGAUUAUGUCACAUGUUGGUUUGGAAGGAUUUGUGAUAUGCCAUGUGUUGCAGGCACAAAAACAAAAGCGCUUGAAAAAACAGGACCCUCGAUAGUCAGAAUCGAAUUUUCCUUUAGCACAAGUGUUAUUCUAUGAUCGCCUAAGGGGUCUGCCUAAUUUGCCUUCCUUUGCCCUCGACUCGACGUCUACUCUUCUGUACUUCAGUAUUUCACCUUCAAGAAAUGUGAUUAGCCUCCAAAAUGUCUUUUAUUUAGCCUGAUUACGAAUUAUUUGCCCCAAAA